AUUGAACGCUGGCGGCAGGCCUAACACAUGCAAGUCGAACGGUAACAGGGAUCAGCUUGCUGAUUCGCUGACGAGUGGCGGACGGGUGAGUAAUGUCUGGGAAACUGCCUGAUGGAGGGGGAUAACUACUGGAAACGGUAGCUAAUACCGCAUAACGUCGCAAGACCAAAGAGGGGGACCUUCGGGCCUCUUGCCAUCGGAUGUGCCCAGAUGGGAUUAGCUAGUAGGUGGGGUAACGGCUCACCUAGGCGACGAUCCCUAGCUGGUCUGAGAGGAUGACCAGCCACACUGGAACUGAGACACGGUCCAGACUCCUACGGGAGGCAGCAGUGGGGAAUAUUGCACAAUGGGCGCAAGCCUGAUGCAGCCAUGCCGCGUGUAUGAAGAAGGCCUUCGGGUUGUAAAGUACUUUCAGCGGGGAGGAAGGGAGUAAAGUUAAUACCUUUGCUCAUUGACGUUACCCGCAGAAGAAGCAUCGGCUAACUCCGUG
rnacentral:rRNA from 1 species